rnacentral:rRNA from 1 species
UACGGGGGGGGCAAGCGUUGUUCGGAAUUACUGGGCGUAAAGGGCUCGUAGGCGGCCAACUAAGUCAGACGUGAAAUCCCCAGGCUCAACCUGGGAACUGCGUCUGAUACUGGAUGGCUUGAAUCCGGGAGAGGGAUGCAGAAUUCCAGGUGUAGCGGUGAAAUGCGUAGAUAUCUGGAGGAAUACCGGUGGCGAAGGCGGCAUCCUGGACCGACAUUGACGCUGAGGAGCGAAAGCUAGGGAGCAACAGGGG